CUUUCCUGUCCUCUUCAGUGCCUCUUUUCUUGAGAUGAUAUGAAAACCAGAUACAGCAAUUGUUCAUCUGAUUUUCGGUUCUUAUGCAGUAUCUGGUGCCUGGAGAAGGAGAUGGAGAAGUAGGAGCAGAAGAAGGAGAAGGAAGGAAAGAAGAACAAAGCUAGAGGCUCAUCAGUGAACUGUGUGACCAAACAGAACAGAAGCUUGUUUUUCAUUCAUGCUACCUACUCCUCCCGGAGCUGGCAGGAGUUGUUGUCCACAUUGUCAAGCGGGGUCAUUGACGACUGAAUUUCCCACAUUUUGUGACAGCUGCAUCUAGAAUAUGCAGCACUCUCCAUCAUCACGUGAGAAAAAGAGAUUGGAGAAUCACCCAGAGCUCUUUAUUGCCUCAGCCAAAUAAGUGACAUAUGUCAUGUCUCAUGAUUCAUUGGCCAGAACUAGGCCCGUGGCCCUGUCUAACUGCAAGGGAGCUGGAAAAUGUGGAGAAGCAGAUGGAAUAUUGGAUAUUUAAAUACUACUGCUUUAA